UACGUAGGGUGCAAGCGUUGUCCGGAAUUAUUGGGCGUAAAGAGCUCGUAGGCGGCCUGUCACGUCGACUGUGAAAACCCGAGGCUCAACCUCGGGCCUGCAGUCGAUACGGGCAGGCUAGAGUUCGGUAGGGGAGACUGGAAUUCCUGGUGUAGCGGUGAAAUGCGCAGAUAUCAGGAGGAACACCGGUGGCGAAGGCGGGUCUCUGGGCCGGUACCGACGCUGAGGAGCGAAAGCGUGGGGAGCGAGCAGG
rnacentral:rRNA from 1 species